rnacentral:lncRNA from 1 species
UUUGAAAAAUCAUAUGAUGAGUUCAUCAAGUAUGCUAUUUAUUUGUAUGUGUAUUUAAGAUGUUUGUUGAUGACCUUAUGAUUUACAAAUACAUUAAUUUUUGACAGAACAUAAUUUCUUUUUACUUUUUGAUACAAAAUAUAAGUAGCAGCCCCUUGCAUAGUAAUUUUUGUAGGAAUUUACUUAAAACUUUUAGUUUUGUUCAUUGUUAAAGGAUCUACAGUCUCUUGAUAUGAUCUUGUUAUUGAUCUGGUCUUUAACUGAUACUGUGGAUUCAUUAUUAUUGUUUUGAUUAUUAUUAAAUAUUCUGAUAUGUGCAUUUCUUAUUGUUAGUGUGAGGUGGUAAAAUGAUAAUUUUUAUCGAAUUAAUCAUGCAAAGAAAUUGUCUUUAGUUCAAUGCAAAUCCGAUUUUUGAAGCCCUUCUGCCAAUAUGUGAUUCAACAUUCUAUAAAAUAAAGACCAAUUUCAGUGACACUUUUGUUUUUAUGAAGGGGCCUAAAAAGUGGCUUUAUUAUACUGAAUGGAAUCCACAAAAAUUGCAUUCAUUUCUCAAUCUUUAGCUUGAAAUAUACAUCAUAUGGAAUACAUAAGUUAAUUGGAGAUAAUUCAGAAAUUGAAAUCAUUCAAAAAAACUUGACGACAACUGGAGAUAUAGAAAUUGUCAGGAAUUUGAUACAAUAGACAAAGGGAGAUAAUUCAAAGUAUUUAUCAAUAAAUUUACUGUCUAUGUAGUUAUACUUGCUUGAAGAAAUGAAAGCCCAACCAUUUCUCAAUUAAGGCAACUAAUAAAGAUUAAAUUAACAUGCUUAAUAGUGUGGUAGGCCUACUAGAACUUUUUAUGACAAUUUUAAAUGAAAUAAUUUUAUUGACUUGCAUUAGUUGUUACAGAUUAGCACUUAGAAACCCCAUCAAUUUAAACUCAAUUAGUAAUCUUUCAGUGAUGCAUAAUUUAUCUUACUUUUAAUAUGAAUUUUUAAAAAUGUAUACAUGGUUAUUUUAAUAUUUACACCUAAAAGCAUUGUGUGUAGACACAGUAAAACAUGGGCUGUUUAUAGAAGAAUUUUAAUAGUAAAUGAAGGUAACACCACAUGUGUUUUAUUUAUAUACUAACCUGAAUUAAUUUUACCCCAUUAACCAUAAAUUGUGUUUUCAUUUUUUGUGUUUGAGUGACACUUAUUUUGAAUGUUUGGUUUUCAUCAACAUCAAGUUUUACAAUAAUAAAACUUGUUAUUCCAAAACAGAAAAUAUAUUCUCAGAGAAUGUAUAUAUUUUUUAAUAAACUGACUUUUGACAGUGAACACCAGUGUAUGCCAUUCAUCCAUUGUUUCAAUCUAGACAGGAUUAACUAUGCUCAAUAGCUUAUCUUAGUUAUUUAUUCUAUAUCAAAAUGAAGUAAAUAUAACAAUGUCUUCAAGGGGUACAUGGCUGCAAUACUAUGAACAUAUAUGUCAUUGUUUUUAUCAUGAUUGUAUUCUACAGAAUACAUAACUGUUAUGGAGAAAAAUCGUAUUAUUAAAGUUACAUUAAUAUGUACCAGUAUUAAUAAAAUAUACAGAAAAAGAUUGCAAUGGUUUUUUGUCGAGCCUGCAACUUUUGUUGCAGAAAGCUCGACAUAGGGAUAGUGAUCCGGCGGCG